rnacentral:rRNA from 1 species
UCAGACGUGACUACCCGCUGAACUUAAGCAUAUCAGUAAGCGGAGGAAAAGAAACUAACAAGGAUUCCCUUAGUAACGGCGAGUGAAA